rnacentral:lncRNA from 1 species
AUAAAGAUUUAUUUGACCAUGUACAAAAAUCUUUCAUAUCCAGAUAGUCAACAAAUAUUUGACAAAUUGAGAAAUGCCAGUUUUAAAUACAUGCAUAGAUUAUGGUGGCAGAAUAUAUUUAAAAAAUUGACACUCAUGAAUUUCUGAACAAUUAUUAAUCUAAUUAGUAAAACUAAUUUUCACCACAAUCCAAGUAGAUUGUGUACAAAAUAAACAACUCACUACAUUUGCAAUCCACCAUCAUUCUUCUCAAAUUAUCUCAUGAUAACUCAGAUACAAUCUAAUAGAAAAGGUACAUCUCAUUUUCUACCACAUGAAGUAUUUUAAAGUGCUAUUUUGUCCAUUUCGUGUAUAUAUGUAUGGCAUAUCAUGGACAAUUAGACAUGUAGGGUCUUAUUCCAAAUAACUGCUUUAAUUUGUUUAGUAGUGACUAUAUUUAUAAAGUCUAAUUUUACAUUUAUUAUAUAAGGGAAAUUUUUAUUUUUAAUUAGCAUAUAUUAAAUGUACAUAUUUAUGGGGUACAGUGUGAUACUUCAAUGCACUUUACAACAUGUACUGAUUAAAUUAGAGUAAUUUGUAUUUCUAUCUCCUCAUCUUUUCUUUAUAUUUGUUAUGAGCAUUUUUAUUGUCUGAGCAAAGAAGAAAAUGCAUCCUUUUUGGGAGCAAAUGAACCACCAGCUUGAAAGGAAAUAUUUGAUCAAGGUAUUGAUGCACAGCCAGAGGAAUGCAUCAAAACAAUAACUCUAAUUCCUAUUAUGGCUGUUAAUUAAUGGAUGAGAAAGGAAGAGAGAAAAAGGAAAAGGGAGGAGGAGGAAGAAAUAAAUUAACAAGAGGAAAAAGAAGAAGGGCAUUGGCAAGAGUGACAGAAUAAAUUAAAAUAUCCAUAAUGCAAAGGUUACUGUAUGGACAUGAGAAAAUGGCUCCAAGGAAAGGCUCCUGGGCAACAAUGAUGCAGUUCUGCAUACCACACUUUGAGUAGCAAGGUAAUAAAAGUUGCAGAAAAUGUUGGACAUUUUCACUAAAUCAUGAAAUAAAAAAGAAGUCACCUUCCUUGAGUGCUUGGUAAUGGACUGGAGAGUGUCCCUGUGAUUUCACAUUCCUACACUGACCCCUGUUAUAUCAGUUAUAACACAAUAUUGGAAUUUGCUGUUCAACGGUG